GCCCGAGUGGUGAAAUUGGUAGACACAGGGGACUUAAAAUCCCCCGGCCAUUGCGGCUGUGCCGGUUCAAGUCCGGCCUCGGGCACCA
rnacentral:tRNA from 1 species